UGGAAUCAAUGCUAAUUUUACCUUGA
rnacentral:piRNA from 1 species